GACGAACGCUGGCGGCGUGCUUAACACAUGCAAGUCGAACGGUGAAGCGCCUUCCUUUUGGUGGGUGUGGAUGAGUGGCGAACGGGUGAGUAACACGUGAGUAACCUGCCCCCUUCUUCUGGAUAACCGCAUGAAAGUGUGGCUAAUACGGGAUAUUCUGGGUCUGUCGCAUGAUGGGUCUGGGAAAGAUAUUGUUUCGGUGGGGGAUGGGCUCGCGGCCUAUCAGCUUGUUGGUGGGGUGAUGGCCUACCAAGGCGGUGACGGGUAGCCGGCCUGAGAGGGUGGACGGUCACACUGGGACUGAGACACGGCCCAGACUCCUACGGGAGGCAGCAGUGGGGAAUAUUGCACAAUGGGCGCAAGCCUGAUGCAGCGACGCCGCGUGAGGGAUGGAGGCCUUCGGGUUGUGAACCUCUUUCGCCAGUGAAGCAGGCCUGCCUCGUUUGUGGGUGGGUUGACGGUAGCUGGAUAGAAGCGCCGGCUAACUACGUG
rnacentral:rRNA from 1 species